rnacentral:rRNA from 1 species
AUUGAACGCUGGCGGCAGGCCUAACACAUGCAAGUCGAACGAGUCGAGGACGGGUGAGUAAUGUCUGGGAAACUGCCUGAUGGAGGGGGAUAACUACUGGAAACGGUAGCUAAUACCGCAUACCAUCAGAUGUGCCCAGAUGGGAUUAGCUGGUUGGUGGGGUAACGGCGCACCAAGGCGACGAUCCCUAGCUGGUCUGAGAGGAUGACCAGCCACACGGGAACUAAGAUACGGUCAAGACUCCUACGGGAGGCAGCGUUGGGGAAUAUUGCAAAAUGGGCGCAAGCCUGAUGCAGCCAUGCCGCGUGUAUGAGGAGGGCCUUCGGGUUGUAAAGUACUUUCAGCGGGGAGGCGUUACCCGCAGAAGAAGCACCGGCUAACUCCGUGCCAGCCGCCGCGGUAAUAC